rnacentral:rRNA from 1 species
GAUGAACGCUGGCGGCGUGCCUAAUACAUGCAAGUCGAGCGAACAGACGAGGAGCUUGCUCCUCUGACGUUAGCGGCGGACGGGUGAGUAACACGUGGAUAACCUACCUAUAAGACUGGGAUAACUUCGGGAAACCGGAGCUAAUACCGUAUAAUAUAUUGAUCCGCAUGGUUCAAUAGUGAAAGACGGUUUUGCUGUCACGUAUAGAUGGAUCCGCGCCGCAUGAGCUAGUUGGUAAGGUAACGACUUACCAAGGCAACGAUGCGUAGCCGAACUGAGAGAGUGAUAGGCCACACGGGAACUGGACCACGGUCCAGGCGCCUACGGGAGGCCGCAGUAGGGAAUCUUCGGCAAUGGGCGAAAGCCUGACGGAGUAACGCGGAGUGAGUGAUGAAGGCCUUCGGAUCGUAAAACCCUGUUAUUAGGGAAGAACAAAUGUGGAAGUAACUAUGCACGGCUUGACGGUAACUAAUCAGAAAGCAACGGCUAACUACGUG